UGAACACACACGUACAGUCAGGUUCUUUCAGAGACCAAUCAUGAACACAGGCCUACAGCCAGGAAACAGGUUUCUAUAAAAGCUUCUUGUUUGAGUCCAACAUUCAAACUAUUUUACAUUCAAAGAGCACUAGCCCAAAGCUAAUCCUGUGAUUUGACCAGAAUAUCAUCAGACCUACUCCUAUCGGCAACAUGUAUUAAAACACCAUGAAAACAAUACAUUUCUGGACGUGUGGUCCUCGGCCUCCCAAUGGGGCUGGGGCCAGGGCUAAAGCAGGGGCCAAGAUAGUGGAUGGAGAACACACGGACCCCCUGAGGACUUAUGUGCCAUCGCUGCCCUCCUGUUACCGCUGCUGGAGGCUCCCGGAUGGAUAACGCCAACCACUCCGCUUUCUCCCUCCCUCUGUCCCUAUCUCUCUGUUUCUCUCUCUCUUUCUUUCAUCAUCCUGGAAUUAAAGUGUGACUAUGUUAAUAACCUGUCAGGUCAGAUAAAAAAGAUUGCUACUGGUGACACUGAAACCCGGUACUACCUGUGUCAGAAUAUUUGAGAUAUAUAUGGUUAAAUUCAAAAAGAUUUGUAAUAUUGAUUUUGCGCGUGACUUAAAUAUGUCCUUUGGAGUGGAACUUGAGGCAGAAGAUUUUUCUGACUCUGGGCAGGCGACAAAGAUUCUGUACAAACGCAAACGUCGGAGAAGCAUAACGGAGCCUUUACAUUUUAGCUCUGAAACUGAGAUCUUCAUAAGUACAGAGGGUGCAGAUCAGACAUUGAGUGUGAAAAACAACAUCAUAGACUCUUCUCAGCGUUCCAUCAUAUCAGAUUCUGAUAUUUUAGACAGACGCAAACGUAGGAAUAGCUUAGAUAUUCCACCAGAUUUUGUAACAUGCACACUGGAAAAUAUUCAGUAUGUAUACUUUGAAGUUUUAUGUUUUAUGCAUACUUUGAAGCUACAUAGUCACACUUUAAACCAGAUAUAUCUAUUAAAGCCUUCAUGACGCCAUCAUAAUGCCUUCAUAAUGUCCUACACUACAUACAUAGAAGCUUCACAUAUCAUUUGUAAGCAAAUGUCAUGCUGGAAAAAGGAGGUGUGCAGAUGCGGAAGCAGAGAUGUGCCGACAGAAGCGAACUUUCAAUGCAUAAUUCUGUUUAAACUAACCUAACGGAUGGCGCAGAAGCUGCAAAAUUAGGCUUUAGAGAGGUGGAAGGUUGCUUGAUCAGUAGCCGGAAGGUUGCUGAUUCAAUCCACGGACAGGGUAUAAAAACAGAACUGUGGGAACUGUUGGUCUAUGAUUCCAGGUACUCCCUCCUGCCGUUGUGCCCUUGAGCAUGGGACUUAAACCCCAAAACUGCUCUCCAUCCAGGGGUGCUGCUCUGUAGCUUAUCAACCUAGCUGAUCAAUGAUUUGUGCAGCGCCUAUGAAAUGUGAUGAAGCAGAUAAUGAGGCUAAACAACUAACAAUAUUCAGUUAAGUAAUGUACAUUUAGAAGGUUUUAAUAGGGUCAUACUCACAUUGCUCCUAUAAAUAUAUUUAGCAUUUCAUUAUCUUAUAUUCUGGCUUAGCUUUUUAAUGCAAUAAAAACUGUGACAAACUA